rnacentral:rRNA from 1 species
ACUCCUACGGGAGGCAGCAGUGGGAAUCUUGCACAAUGGGCGAAAGCCUGAUGCAGCGACGCCGCGUGGGGGAUGAAGGCCCUAGGGUCGUAAACCCUUUCAGUAGGGACGAAAUUGACGGUACCUACAGAAGAAGCUCCGGCCAACUACGUGCCAGCAGCCGCGGUAAGACGUAGGGGCGAGCGUUGUCCGGAAUCAUUGGGCGUAAAGAGCUCGUAGGCGGUUCCGUAAGUCGGAUGUGAAAACUCAGGGCUCAACUCUGAGACGCCAUCCGAUACUGCGGUGACUUGAAUCCAGUAGGGGAGUGUGGAAUUCCUGGUGUAGCGGUGAAAUGCGCAGAUAUCAGGAGGAACACCUAUGGCGAAGGCAGCACUCUGGGCUGGUAUUGACGCUGAGGAGCGAAAGCGUGGGUAGCAAACAGGAUUAGAUACCCUGGUAGGUCAGUC